UUACCUGCAUAAUGGUCCGGGGCUGAAGUGGUUAAAAUGUUAACCAUGUUUGUUUGUGAAAGGCGGUUCUCACUUAUCUAAGUCAUGGUAUAUCUAGUAGACGGUCACCUUCGGACUUUCUGUAAUGUAUUAGAACUUAGGAAGCUGCUUGGUUGAGAAGCAAAAUGGCAGCAACAUUACAGAUCACUGGCCCGGAUUCAGAAAG